GCCUGGGUGGCUCAGUUGGUUGAGCGUCUGACUUCAGCUCAGGUCAUGAUCUCACAGUUCGUGGGUUCGAGCCCCGCAUCGGGCU
rnacentral:tRNA from 1 species